rnacentral:misc_RNA from 1 species
AGACACUUGAAGCCAAUGUCUCUAUCAAGUCCUACUCCUAUAUCAAGACUUGCUAGCCAUGCCGUGGGAACAAAAGGGUACUGCAUCCAAACACAAACGCCCAUUUAAAUUGUAUUUGAAGCUAAUGUCUCUUUCAAGACUUGAAUUGCACUUGAAGUUAAUGUCUGUUUCAAGUGCUAACCCCAUCUUGAUAAAACUUUGUCUGAUCAUUGACAAUAAUAAUAAUCUAAUGCAGAUGCUUUGCUUCCAAUUGAUGAUCAUCAGAUAUGGCACUCAAUUGGUCAACGGGG